UUAUGUUUAUCCUUAGUUUUUCCUUCUCAUUAAUUGAAGAGAUUUUCAUUAUCUUGAGUAAUAUUAUUAGUUAGUCUUGUAUUCUUCAUGUAGUUUGCUUUUAUUGCUUCCUUGUGCUCUAAAAUAAGCAUUAAUUAUUAUUAGUUAUAUCUUGCUGUUGGGUGUCCUUGUUCUUCUAUUGUAAUUGCUUGGUAAAUAUAUGCAUUUCCGUCAUCAUUUAAAUAAAUGUUUGAUAAAUUGAUUUUCCUUUAACUUAACUAUACCAAGCAUCAAGCAAACAGCAACGAAGGUAGUUAAUUACGUUAACCCUGUAACUAGUUACUGCCUAGUUUGGUUAUCUUCCAGCUUCGACUCCAUUCCCAAAAUACCUUGGAGCAGCAGUAGCUCGGAAGGAGAGGGACAGUGAAGACGUGACCACUACCUAGCACAGCGCGACUUUGAGAUCGUUAUUACGAUCAUACCAAUCUUUCGUGCAGUGCAUUAUAAAGGAACUAUGAAGAGCUAAAAUGUAUCUGUGACCUGGCCCAUGUACCGAGGGUGGGGAGGAGAAUAAUGCUGCCUAUUAUCCACCUUAGGCCACCACCAUUUUCCACGAAGAACAACUUGCCGACCGAUGUCAUCUAGUUGCCAAUACAACUAUUCGGCUUAAUUUGGACCUAGAAAGGAUAGCUGAAAACUUGAAGAUUCUCAUGAUUUAUUCUGAAACUGUGAGUUGGCAGCAGGGCCAGCACCAUCCCUCUACCUCGUAUGGUUUGGGAUUACCUGUUGCAAACCAGGAAGCAAGGAUAUUCACAGCAGAUUGAUAGAAAAUGAAUUUAUAAAUUAAACUGUAGAAUUUAUUAUUAAAUUUUUAGUUUUUUUU